UGUGAUGAAAGUACAUCUGAAUUGAUAAAUUAGCGCACCAAAAUUAGCGCAGAAGUGAUUUAGCACUUUUUGUAUAUAUACUUUCACUAUUGCACUACCUGAUUAACAUAUUUGUAUCUAGCACUCCCUUAGUCAAUGUGUACACUUACAUAGCACCAUGACAGUGCAUUUGAUUUUUGGACAUUGGGUUGUGUGAGGGACCAGGAUUUUGCCCUUCAAAAUCACAAACAUCCUGGCUCAGAAGACAUUCAAUUUACUUGAGAAAGCAAGCAAAGAGUUUUCACGGAUUAAAGAUAUCAAUCAGAUUAAAGGAACGAAUUGGUUCGAAAGAAGGAUUAAAAGUACCAAUUGGAUUCAAAGGAUUAAAACUACCAAUUGGAUUGAUUGUAUGGAUUUGAUAUCAGAUUAAUCGAUUAAACAACGAAAUCCUGUAGAGGCCUUUGUUCGCUUGUCUUUUGUUGUCGACCUCACUACAGCCACA
rnacentral:lncRNA from 1 species